AUCAAAGUAGUGGUUUGUUUCUUACACGAAAAGUCCUCCUGUAACCUUCAGGAACAUGAAAAACCAUUGUUUUAGGGUGAUUACCCGUGGUCUUUGUUCAUGACUAAAGGUUCAGUGAAUAGUGUCCUCCAUA